AUUGAACGCUGGCGGCAUGCUUUACACAUGCAAGUCGAACGGCAGCGCGGGCUUCGGCCUGGCGGCGAGUGGCGAACGGGUGAGUAAUAUAUCGGAACGUACCCAAGAGUGGGGGAUAACGUAGCGAAAGUUACGCUAAUACCGCAUACGAUCCAAGGAUGAAAGCAGGGGACCGCAAGGCCUUGUGCUCCUGGAGCGGCCGAAAUCUGAUUAGCUAGUUGGUGGGGUAAAGGCUCACCAAGGCAACGAUCAGUAGCUGGUCUGAGAGGACGACCAGCCACACUGGAACUGAGACACGGUCCAGACUCCUACGGGAGGCAGCAGUGGGGAAUUUUGGACAAUGGGGGCAACCCUGAUCCAGCAAUGCCGCGUGAGUGAAGAAGGCCUUCGGGUUGUAAAGCUCUUUUGUCAGGGAAGAAAAGGCUGUGGCUAAUAUCCACAGCUGCUGACGGUACCUGAAGAAUAAGCACCGGCUAACUCUGUGCCAGCCGCCGCGGUAA
rnacentral:rRNA from 1 species